rnacentral:rRNA from 1 species
CCUACGGGAGGCAGCAGUGAGGAAUAUUGGUCAAUGGGCGCGAGCCUGAACCAGCCAAGUCGCGUGAGGGAUGAAGGUUCUAUGGAUCGUAAACCUCUUUUAUAAGGGAAUAAAGUGUGGGACGUGUCCGAUUUUGUAUGUACCUUAUGAAUAAGGAGCGGCUAACUCCGUGCCAGCAGCCGCGGUAAUACGGAGGAGGCGAGCGUUAUCCGGAUUUAUUGGGGUUAAAGGGUGCGUAGGCGGGCGCUUAAGUCAGCGGUAAAAUUGCGGGGCUCAACCUCGUCGAGCCGGUGAAACUGGGUGCCUUGAGUGGGCGUGCCGUACGCGGCAUGCGUGGUGUCGCGGUGACAUGCAUCGUUCUCACGCAGCACUCCGAUUGCGACGGCAGCGUACCGGCGCCCAACUGCCGCUGCCGCCCGCAGGCGUGGGUAUCGAACAGGAUUAGAUACCCCAGUAGUC